AGAGUUUGAUCAUGGCUCAGGAUGAACGCUAGCUACAGGCUUAACACAUGCAAGUCGAGGGGCAGCAUCAUCAAAGCUUGCUUUGAUGGAUGGGCGACCGGCGCACGGGUGAGUAACACGUAUCCAACCUGCCGACAACACUGGGAUAGCCUUUCGAAAGAAAGAUUAAUACCGGAUGGUAUAGUUUUCCCGCAUGGGAUGAUUAUUAAGAAUUUCGGUUGUCGAUGGGGAUGCGUUCCAUUAGGCAGGUUGGCGGGGUAACGGCCCACCAAACCUACGAUGGAUAGGGGGUUCUGGAGAGGAAGGUCCCCCCACAUUGGAACUGAGACACGGUCCAAAACUCCGUACGGGAGGCA
rnacentral:rRNA from 1 species